GGACGCAGUAGGAUAGGCGAAGCGUGCUGUUGGAGUGCACGUCCAAGCAGUAAGGCUGAGUGUUAGGCAAAUCCGGCACUCAUAAGGCUGAGCUGUGAUGGGGAGAGGAAAUUGUUUCCUCGAGUCGUUGAUUUCACACUGCCGAGAAAAGCCUCUAGAUAGAUAACAGGUGCCCGUACCGCAAACCGACACAGGUAGUCAAGAUGAGAAUUCUAAGGUGAGCGAGCGAACUCUCGUUAAGGAACUCGGCAAAAUGACCCCGUAACUUCGGGAGAAGGGGUGCUCUUUAGGGUUCACGCCCAGAAGAGCCGCAGUGAAUAGGCCCAAGCGACUGUUUAUCAAAAACACAGGUCUCUGCUAAACCGUAAGGUGAUGUAUAGGGGCUGACGCCUGCCCGGUGCUGGAAGGUUAAGAGGAGUGGUUAGCUUCUGCGAAGCUACGAAUCGAAGCCCCAGUAAACGGCGGCCGUAACUAUAACGGUCCUAAGGUAGCGAAAUUCCUUGUCGGGUAAGUUCCGACCCGCACGAAAGGCGUAACGAUUUGGGCACUGUCUCAACGAGAGACUCGGUGAAAUCAUAGUACCUGUGAAGAUGCAGGUUACCCGCGACAGGACGGAAAGACCCCGUGGAGCUUUACUGUAGCCUGAUAUUGAAAUUCGGCACAGCUUGUACAGGAUAGGUAGGAGCCUUUGA
rnacentral:rRNA from 1 species